rnacentral:rRNA from 1 species
AGUGAACGCUGGCGGUAGGCCUAACACAUGCAAGUCGAACGGCAGCACAGCAAGAGCUUGCUCUUACGGGUGGCGAGUGGCGGACGGGUGAGGAAUACAUCGGAAUCUACUUUUUCGUGGGGGAUAACGUAGGGAAACUUACGCUAAUACCGCAUACGACCUACGGGUGAAAGCAGGGGAUCUUCGGACCUUGCGCGAUUGAAUGAGCCGAUGUCGGAUUAGCUAGUUGGCGGGGUAAAGGCCCACCAAGGCGACGAUCCGUAGCUGGUCUGAGAGGAUGAUCAGCCACACUGGAACUGAGACACGGUCCAGACUCCUACGGGAGGCAGCAGUGGGGAAUAUUGGACAAUGGGCGCAAGCCUGAUCCAGCCAUACCGCGUGGGUGAAGAAGGCCUUCGGGUUGUAAAGCCAUUUUGUUGGGAAAGAAAAGCAGCAGGUUAAUACCCCGCUGUUCUGACGGUACCCAAAGAAUAAGCACCGGCUAACAUCGUG